GACAGAGGCCUCGAGCGUUAGGCGGAAUCACUGGGCUUAAAGCGUGUGUAGGCGGACGCCUAAGUACCUUGUGAAAUCCCACGGCUCACCCGUGGAACCGCUGGGUAUACUGGGCGUCUUGGGCCAUUCAGGGGCAACUGGAACAAGCGGUGGAGCGGUGAAAUGCGUAGAUAUCGCUUGGAACGCCGACGGUGAAAACAGGUUGCUGGGCUGACACUGACGCUGAGGCGCGAAAGCUAGGGGAGCGAACGGG
rnacentral:rRNA from 1 species